rnacentral:snoRNA from 1 species
AAGAUCAUACUUCGUAGGAUCAUUUCUAUAGUAUGAUUAGCGAGUUCACUCACCGAACUUCGCAGAAAACCCAACCACGAUGAUGUGGAAUGGGGCUUUCUCCUGAGCGUGAAGCGGUUGCUCGAUUCUUAAUGAAUGGAGUAACAUUGAUGAUCGCACUGUUUGGCAUUGCGCCAAGUGGAUGGAUAAAGCUCGUUCUGAGUGGU